rnacentral:snoRNA from 2 species
CUCCUCUCAGGGUCACACCUGGAGAGUUCCCAGGACUCGUACCAGUCUUGACUACAGAAGGGAGAGUGAAGCAGAGGCCAAUCCAUUCCAUUCCUAGCUUGGUCAGUGGCUAGCGAGUGGAAGGCAACCCGCUACAAGU